GGUAAGGUGGCCGAGUGGUCUAAGGCGCACGGUUCAGGUCUACCUGAUCCUAUCCAUUAGUGGAUUUCCGUGUCUCGAGAGGGACCUGGGUUCGAAUCCCAGCCUUAUCA